rnacentral:lncRNA from 1 species
UUAUUUAAUUCUUCUCUAUGUAUUUUUAUAUUUUAAAAAUACUAUUCAACUUUUUAUUAUAGAAGAGUCAAACAACCAUUCAAUCAUUCAAAUUCUUAUUUUUAUGUGAAAAAUUAUUUUUCUAAUUUUAAAAUAAAAUAAAUUAUGAGGAGGAGUUGUCCUUAUUUUCCUAGAUGUUUCCAACAUUGCAAACAAGUAUUUA